rnacentral:lncRNA from 1 species
GCAGGAGCCGUGAGGCAAGAAGCUCUGGGAUCAAUUAAAAUGCCAGGCUUUUCCAGGCUGGUUUCCAGCGCAUCUGUGCAUGAUUCCACAUAAAUUUAGGGAAUUAAAGAUCAGACAAAGGCGGAUUCUUUACUGCUGAAGCACAGGGGAGAAGCCUAGUAAUAGCUCUUAUUAUUACCAUCCUGCUGGAUAACAGGACAAGACCCAACUUAGCCAACAAAAUGACCCCCAAAGCCUAUCCAAUGUUUAUUGGUUACUCCAAGAUUUUCAGCUUGCUGUCAGAGGAAACUAGCAUCCAGAACAGAGAGUAAGUGGUUCAAGAAUCCACAGACAAAGCGUUCUUCCUUCCACUCCAAGCAAAACAG